rnacentral:rRNA from 1 species
UACGUAGGGUGCAAGCGUUGUCCGGAUUUAUUGGGCGUAAAGAGCUCGUAGGCGGUCUGUCGCGUCGGAUGUGAAAACCCAGGGCUCAACCCUGGGCCUGCAUUCGAUACGGGCAGACUAGAGUACGGCAGGGGAGACUGGAAUUCCUGGUGUAGCGGUGAAAUGCGUAGAUAUCAGGAGGAACACCGGUGGCGAAGGCGGGUCUCUGGGCCGAUACUGACGCUGAGGAGCGAAAGCGUGGGGAGCGAACAGG